GACGAACGCUGGCGGCGUGCUUAACACAUGCAAGUCGAACGAAGAGCGAUGGAAGCUUGCUUCUAUCAAUCUUAGUGGCGGACGGGUGAGUAACGCGUAAUCAACCUGCCCUUCAGAGGGGGACAACAGUUGGAAACGACUGCUAAUACCGCAUACGAUCUAACCUCGGCAUCGAGGAAAGAUGAAAGGUGGCCUCUAUGUAUAAGCUAUCACUGAAGGAGGGGAUUGCGUCUGAUUAGCUAGUUGGAGGGGUAACGGCCCACCAAGGCGAUGAUCAGUAGCCGGUCUGAGAGGAUGAACGGCCACAUUGGGACUGAGACACGGCCCAGACUCCUACGGGAGGCAGCAGUGGGGAAUCUUCCGCAAUGGACGAAAGUCUGACGGAGCAACGCCGCGUGAGUGAUGACGGCCUUCGGGUUGUAAAGCUCUGUUAAUCGGGACGAAAGGCCUUCUUGCGAAUAGUGAGAAGGAUUGACGGUACCGGAAUAGAAAGCCACGGCUAACUACGUG
rnacentral:rRNA from 1 species